rnacentral:misc_RNA from 1 species
AACCUUAUGGACCUGCGGGCGUAUACCUGCGGAGGGAUCAUUACUGAGUUCUACAAAAACUCCCAACCCUUUGUGAAUUAUACCUUAGUUGCCUCGGCGCCGAGCAGCAGCUACCCGGGAGCUACCCUGAAGUUACCUACCCUGUAGAUGUUUCGACACCUACCCUGUAGGUAGCUACCCUGGAGAGCUACCCUGGAGUUGCGUUUAUGCCCCGCCGGUGGACCUAUAAACUCUGAAUUC